rnacentral:rRNA from 1 species
UACGGGGGGAGCAAGCGUUGUUCGGAUUUACUGGGCGUAAAGGGCGCGUAGGCGGCCAGCACAAGUCAGUUGUGAAAUCUCCGGGCUUAACUCGGAAAGGUCAACUGAUACUGUGCGGCUAGAGUGCGGAAGGGGCAACUGGAAUUCUCGGUGUAGCGGUGAAAUGCGUAGAUAUCGAGAGGAACACCUGCGGCGAAGGCGGGUUGCUGGGCCGACACUGACGCUGAUGCGCGAAAGCCAGGGGAGCGAACGGG